AACGAACGCUGGCGGCAUGCCUAACACAUGCAAGUCGAACGAGACCUUCGGGUCUAGUGGCGCACGGGUGCGUAACGCGUGGGAACCUGCCCUUAGGUUCGGAAUAACUCCCCGAAAGGGGUGCUAAUACCGGAUAAUGUCUUCGGACCAAAGAUUUAUCGCCUUUGGAUGGGCCCGCGUUGGAUUAGCUAGUUGGUAGGGUAAAAGCCUACCAAGGCGACGAUCCAUAGCUGGUCUGAGAGGAUGAUCAGCCACACUGGGACUGAGACACGGCCCAGACUCCUACGGAAGGCAGCAGUGGGGAAUAUUGGACGCUGGGCGAAAGCCUAAUCCAGCAAUGCCGCGUGAGUGAUGAAGGCCUUAGGGUUGUAAAGCUCUUUUACCCGGGAUGAUAAUGACAGUACCGGGAGAAUAAGCUCCGGCUAACUACGUG
rnacentral:rRNA from 1 species